rnacentral:lncRNA from 1 species
GAUCUAUUUCGUUAUUUUAAGGACUAAGGAAGUGCAGGGACGGACCCAGGAGAAUUUUUUCGUGCGGGCGAGAUUAAUAAAGGUAAAAAGUUGUUGUACUUUUCGUUAAGCACUAACUUAGGUUGUUAUUUUUAAUAUUUACCAAAAGUUGAAUUUUUUUGUUGAGCACAUUUCUUUCAUAUUUGUGUAACUUGCCCAAAAAUAAACCAAUACUAUAAAUGGGCAGCUCAUAUAAAAACUCCAUAGAAAUUACAACCUAAACACAGCCUUAAUUAGGUCCUACAUUCUAGGUUUUAGACGGCAGAAGAGAGCAAAGGAAGAGGACAGCAAAAGCUUGAAGGCUCUUAUGGGUUCUUUCUUCUAGCAAAGGAAGAGGACAACAAAAGUUUGAAACUCUUACGGGUUCUCUCUUCUAUCUCUUUUCAUUUCCUAUGAUUUUCACUUUUUCCCUUUAGUUUUUCAAUAUGAGCAACCACAAUAGCUUUAAUAUGGCAGAUCUUAGUGCUGUUAAAAAAAUUUCCCCAAAGUUCAGUGCGAACAGAGCCCACAUUGGUCCACUAUUACGCGUUUUCUAUAAUAUGAUUUAUACCGCAAGUGUACACUGUUAAAUUUUGUAAUAUGAUAAUGGAGUUAGAGUAUCGAACCUAUAAGGAUUAUAAUUUAAUUUUAUGCUAAAUACUAUAAUUGUGUAGCUCUUAUUUUAUCUAGAAGAAUGAAAUUUGGAAUUAAUAGUUUUAAAUAAGUUAACAAUAUAAAUAUGGUGACAGACUCAACAAAUAAUUGCGAGUUAGAAGAAUAAUCAAGAUGAGAAAGUUGAGGGUUAUGAUUUCACUUAACUAUCAAAUAUGAUUCUCAAUAUUAUUUUUAAUCAAUUUUUCGAAGUUUAUAAGCAAUAACUCAAAUGUAUUUCUAUACCCUCUUUUGAGUACAGGCUAGAAAUUAAUUCUAGAUUUCAAUUUCAAUAUCUCUAUUCUAAAUUAAAAUUAAGAAUUUAUCAAGUCCAUGAUUCUUUUAUAGAGUAAGCUUCAUAGCUUCUAUACUUUCUCUCGAAACCCAUAAAAUUUACAUUGUUUUAAUCUUAUGAACGAACCUAACUUUCUCUCUCUCGAGUAUCAGAAUUGACUAGCAUCUAAUCAUUUAAUUAGUGGUCGAUUAAUUGAAUACAGUAAAAUCAUAACACAAAUAAACGGACUGGAAAAUUUCAUAGAAAUAACUAAAUAAAUUCAAAUCAUACUCUCAAGUUUUGGCUAAUCAAACCCUAGAAGAAUUAUUUAGUUCAAGAUAGAAGCCAUAAAAAUAAUCAAAUUCAAAUAAACAAAAUAGAGGAGAAUAGUUAUGGUAGAUCUUCAAUCUCCUUUGCAAUGUUCUUGAUUUCUCCAUGAUUUCUUGAUGAUUGCUUGGUUUUUGUCUCUUUUUUGCCCAAUUGAAUUCCUAUCCUAAUAUGAUCUAUAGGUUUGUAUUUAUAGUAUUUUGAAGUUUUGGACGAUUCAGGGUUUGAUUAGGUCAAGAUUUCAAAAUUACUUUUUCUCGCAUGGGCGCCCAAGAUGGGCAGUGCAGCACUACGAUACUAUUGACUUUCAGCAAGACAGGCACUGUAGCGCCCAAGAUGAGCACCUUUUGGGCUCUACAACGCUCAUUUCAGGUGAAAAAAUAGCACUUUGCAUUUUUUAGUAUUUUUAAGAUAAUUUAUUCUCCCGAUAUUCGAUAAGACAAUUUAAGAGGUGUUAGAAAGCUAACUCAAAAGGUUACAAUUUGUAUAAAAUAUUAUUUCAAUUCAAAUGUUUGUUAUGUCGAAAAUGGGUUCAAUGUGAGACUAAAAAUUCAAAGCAUAACUUUUUGUGUUGGAAAUUGAUGUAUGAUCAUACUUUGACUAUAUUUCAUCCUUUUGACUUUUUUCUUUAUUCAAUUGACUUCUAGC